rnacentral:lncRNA from 1 species
CUCUUGUGUUUGGAGAGAAGGGAACUGCUCUUUUGAGGCAAGAAUCGGGAACCUAGCACCACUCCAGCCAUCUUGUUUGGAAGGCCGGAGUGGGGCCAGGAACCUGUUUGCCUCUGUGCUCCCAGCGCGUCUCAAUGACACGGGCCCUCCACCGGCCCCAGUAAGUGUGGACCGUGUGCGGACAACCUGCACUGGGGAGGUGGGAGAUGAAAGGGUUAAACGGUUGCAAACUGCUCUCCUGUGGCGAUAACCGCAGUUUGCCUGGAAGCCUCCGCUGUCACACACGAAGAUGGGCCUUUGGCUUCCUGUCACACAGCCGUGCGACAAGGGGCAGGUUUCUGAAGGACCAGAGAGAAAAGGGGUCUGUUGUUCUCGGGGGCACAGGCUUGCUGGUGGCAUCCCGCACAGACACUCUCUCCUCACAGCUCCCACCACGGGGACUGGAGGCAGGAGGAGCCGACGGGCCCCUGGAACGGCCGCGGUGCGUCCAGAGGUGGGAGCCGCAAGCCCGAGGAUCGGCCGAGUCCCAGGGGACCCUAACGGAGGCCGGGCUGGAAGGCCAAGGUGGCUGCCACGUGGGAAGGUAUCCUUGACGUCCAGCCUUCUCGCCCAGACCCUGGAGAAGGAGUCGGGAGCCACCACCCAAAGCAACUGUCCAGGAAAAGUGGUCGCGCUUCAGCCAUCGCGCUGGGCUAGGUCUUCCAAGCGAACCCCCUGUUGGAGCCUCUGCCGUCUAACGUCACCUAAUGUAGCCGAACCUGCCAAGACCCUGGCUACUUCACUGGAACCCAGACCAGGGCGAUCCCCGAGUGUUGCGAGGUAACAACAACAAAGCAACCAAUAUGUGCACGCUUUACAGUUUGUAAGCGUCGUCACUUCUCGUUUGCCCCUCAUUACUGCUCUGUGAAGAGGGCGCCCGGCCGUAGCUAGGAAGCAAGAGCUGAUCUCAGACCCAGGUCUCAGCUUCUAAGUCUGGUGGCAUUUUUACCACAGCCAAUGGCUUUUUGAUACCAUCCAGAUAACACUAGAAUGCUCUGCAGCCUGAGGAAGCAUCUAGGUUCUACUCUUUUUUUUAAUUGAAGAACUUAUUUUUUUAUUAAAGGAUAGUUGAGUUACAAUGUUGUGCCGAUUUCUGCUGCACAGCAAAGUGACUCCGUUACACAUGUAUUUACGUUCUUUUUGGUAUUCUUUUCCAUCAUGGUCUGUCCCAGGGGACUGGAUAUAGUUCCCUGUGCUGGACAGCAGGGCCUUAGUGUUUAUCCAUAUUCUAAAUGCAAUAGUUUGUGUCUACUGACCUCAAACUCCUAGUCCAUCUCACUGCCCCCUCUCUGCCUUGGCAACCACAAGUCUAUUCUCUAUGUCUGUGAAUGUGUCUAUUUUGCAGAGAGGUUCGUCUGUGCCAUAUUCUAGAUCCCACAUAUAAGUGACGACAUAUGGUAUUUGUCUUUCCUCUUUCUGACUUACUUCACCUAGUAUGAGACUCUCUAGUUCCAUCCAUGUUACGACAGAUGGCAUUAUUUUGUUCUUUUUCAUGGCUGAGUAGUAUUCCAUUGUGCAUAUGUACCACAUCUUACUCAUCGGUUCAUCUGUUGAUGGACAUUUAGGUUGUUUCCAUGUCUUGGCUGUUAUGUGAAUAGUGCUGCAAUGAACAUCAGGAUACACAUAUCUUUUUGAAUUAUGGUUUGUCCGGAUAUAUGCCCACGAGUGGGACUGCUGGAUCAUCUAGUAGUUCUACUUUUAGUUUUCCAAGGAAUCUCCAUGCUGUUUUGCAUAGUGGUUGUACCCACUUACAUUCACACCAGCAGAGCAGGAGGGUUCCCUUUUCUCCACACCUUCCCCAGCUAGGUUCUACUCUUGAGAAUGUGUUCAGGGCUUGAAGCAAAGCUCUCCAAAAGGAACCUCUCCCGCCUUAUCUCCCCAGAAUCGGUCUGUAUCUAAAGCGUGCAUGAGGAGCCUUCCGCCUUCAUUCCUUCCUGCCUGGGACAGACCCAGCGGCAUUGCCAAGAUGACAUUCUUAGGACAGGCACCUGCUAGAUUCCCUUCCCCCUUGGUAGCUGCUCAUUGACGGUGCUUGGAAUCAGAGCCGCAGCUGCUUUUGCGUCCCAAGACCUUGAGAAAAAAAUCGUGUCCAGGCUUGAAUGACAGACGAAAGGACCCUACAAAUGACCCGAUGGCUUUUAAAGCAGCCUUCCUUGGGGCAGCGGGCGCACGAAGUGGCACUGCCCGGCAGUGCCUCUACGUGCAUCUGGCCCUCCUCUCCCCGCUCCUUCCUCUUUAUUGCACCUCCACGACUGCCGACGUGCACAAGGAGCCGCUGCCGGAGAGGAAAUAGGAAAGGCCCUUCUCUCUUCUUUUGUCCCCGCUCUAGUGGGUGAGCAGGACCCAGUUUAAAGGGGGCUCUGGCUGAAGAAAUAAAGGCUGCAGGUGAAUGUUCAGCUUGGCUGUGCAAGGUGAGUACAAAAAUUCUGCUGCAUAUCGGCGCUUUGGAGGCCUGGUCUCUGCCACGCUUUCCUGAAUGCGCUGCAGGCAGACCUCACCUGCUUUACUGCGCUUCACCGAUGCUGCGGUUUUUACAAACUGAGGGUUUGUGGAAACGCAGCGCUGUCAGCUGAUGGUUUACAUUUUUUGCAAUAACCUCCCUUGAAUCCAGGUGUGUACAUUGUUUUUUCAGACAUGAUGCUACUGCAGACAUAAGAGACUGCAGACAUAAGCAUGAAGCUAGCUUUUCCAUGCACUGGAACCAGCCAGUACUCACCAGGUUGAGCUGGUCUGGAGCUGAACCCAGCUUCUCCGAGGUCGGCCCGUGGUAGAUGCUCCUUAUCCGUUUCCCUGAAGCGACCAAGCACAGCACGAGAGCCCAAGGCCCCCAUGCAGAUAAUGGACAAAGGCAGGACUUUCGUGUUAGUGGGUAAGACAAGGGUUUGACAUUCCUCGCAUCCUCCCAGGGCUGCUCCGUGACGCUUUUGUCCGCGUGCGUCCUCCUGCGUCAGCUGCUUUACACACAGUCGUGUGCAUGUGUUCGCCCCACCUCCUAACUCAUUGUCCACACUGCUUCUUGCAGCCCACCUUCCUCUUCCUCGACGGUGGCUCCAGCCCCUUCAUGUCGCCUCCAAGCUCCUGCCCAAGUGUUCCCACCCGCACUGCUGGGAGCAGCUCCUCUGUGUUUUCAGGGCCACUUUGCUGUCGUCCUUUGAAGGUUCUCUUGGCGACUCUAGGAAGACUCCGUGGUACAGGUGACCUUCUGUAUCUGUGGAGGAUCGGUUCCCAGAUACCCCCGCCCACGGAUCCCAAAAUCCCAGGAGCCAAGCCUUGUCUAAAGUGCCGGAGUGCAGCCUGGCCUCCAGAACGCGUGAGAACAGAGCAGCCGUACUCUGUUUCCAACGAACCGAUGGCCAAAGCCCCGCUGUGCGUGUUCUCUAUGGACUGAACAGCCAGUGGCCCUGUAGCAGUGAAGCCUCACACCGUCCUCCAGGCUGGAAGGGACCCUUGAGUCACAGAACUUGCCAGUUUGCAAACAUGUCUCUAGUUGUAACAACUUUCAUCUGUCAAAUGAGGGCUCUUCAUUUCUAAGGUUCUAGAAGCCGGCCGUGGUCAUAUAGUCCCUCAGCUGGGUGUACUGAAAUCUGGGCCAGAGGCACAGCUUCCUCGCUAAGACACCCCCCCACCCCAGCACCCUGCACACACACACAGGCAGAGGCCAAGCUGCCUGCCUCCCCGCACCCCCUAGAAUGCUAACCACUGGGGACCGAGGGGUAGUUCCUACCUUUUAUAUCCUUACAUACUGAAUCUGGCGCUGGCUCCUGGGCUGCAUCUUCUUAACUGCAAACACUCUAUACCAUCCCUCUCUGGUUCCACCAGCCACCACCCUCCUUCCGUGUCCUCCUCUGAACGUGCCUGAUAAAGGCUUUUGAGUGACUGAAUGAGUGGACGGCUCCCAUCUUCUGUCAUCUCAAUGAGUGCUGCUCCCCAGCUGACUGGAACCAGACGCCCUAGUUCCCAGGCUGGGUUUCCCUCCAGAUGUGUUCUCCUGCGGUGUCGGUUCCACCGUUAAACAGCUGUAUCGCUCAGCAGGUACGCAACGUUGAUGCGCCUCCAUUUCCUCCUCUGCAGAAUUGUGGGCGUUCCUGUCGUGGCUCAGCAGAAUCCGGCUUGUAUCCACGAGGAUGCGGGUUCUAUCCCUGGCCUCGCUCGGUGAAUCUGGGAUCCAGCCUUGCCGUGAGCUGUGGUGUAGGCCGGAAGCUGUAGCUCCAAUUUGACCCCUAGCCUGGAAACUUCCAUAUGCUGAGGGUUCGGCCUUAAAAACAACAACAACAACAAAAUAGUACUUACGUCAUAGGGUUGCUGUCAGCAUUAAAUGAGAGAGUCUGUUAAAAACGCCGAGAACAUUGCCUGGCAAUAUACAUUGCAGAAUACUCAAUAAAUAUUAGCUGGUGUUAUUUCAUACUUCAUCAAACACAACCUUCGUCACACAUCGCUGUGCUUCUUAUUUAAUUUGUUGACUUUCCAAAAAGACUGUAAGCUCACGUCUGCCGUGGUCUUAUCCCCAGCGUGGUGGUCUGGCAGGUGGUCAGGGGUCGAUACAGGUCUAAAUGCACCCCCGCGAGAAUGGGCGCGCUGAGGGCGGACACGAAUUUCUUCCACCUGUGACAUUUCAAAGAAUGGUUGAAACUGGUGCCUCUAUAACAUUUGAGAAGCAGACAGGAGACGCUAUUGCCAAGUGGCUACGUGCGCAGAGGGCGAAGCCAGAGGGGAUGAAUUGGAAGCCCAACUCCAACCUCAGCAGAACGUGACCGUACAUCAGCCAGCUUCUGUGCCUCUGUUUCCUCGUCUGUGAAAUGGGAAGGACGAUAAUAGCACCAACCUCGGAGGGUUUUCAGGAAGCUUGAAUGAGUUCAUGUUUGGAAGGUCGUCGGCAUCACGUAAGUGCUAGCUGCCAUCUGCGCCAUUGGUAAGGACAUGACACAAAGAAGACUUGAGAGAGGAAAAAGCCACCAUGGCUGGAAGGCAGGGCUCAGAACAGGCCUGGGGCCAGGCCAGGAGGGUCCUGCACCAUUGACCUAUGGUCCGAGUAUUUUUGGUUCACAUGGUCCAGGCCACUCUUGAGGGCAGGGGCUUGGGGGGGCGGGGAUUCUAGAAGCCUGAUUUGCACUGCCCUGCCCCCCAGCUCUCAGCACAAACCCUGCCCCCAGGGAGGGAAGACGCAUCCCGGCCCAGCCCUGCUGCUCCUCGGGGGCCUGUUGAGGUCGCGGCCACUCCUCCCACCCCGCCAGCUCCCCCUGGUGGACUUUGUCAUCACCACGUGGUUCAGGGACCCUCCAGACCCCCGGGCCCAGGAACUUCCAUAUGUCGCAGGUGCAGCCCUAAAAAAAAAAAAAAAAAAAAAAAAAAUACUGUUUCCGAUCAGAUAAAGCACUGACCUCAAAGGAUUUCCGUCUCCAACUUCCUGUCGAACCCACCCCCAACGCUCAGGUGCCAGCGCCUUGCCGUCCAGCAGCCCGUGGAGCUCCCAGGGGGGCACCGUGUCAUCCCCACGCCGUUUGCCACACGCCCCCCUGCCUGGUGCUCGGCGCAGAGCGCAGGGAGGGGCCGAGUCACCGGCCAGUUACACGGCUUCCUGACCCGCACGGUCGAGUCCUCUGAACCGUGUUCGGAACCUCUGCUGUUGGCUCAGCAGCCACGUAGCACCAUGCAGUGUGCCCCUCAGCAGAUGAGCCGGGCUCCUUGCCCGACAUGGAGACUGGUCUUUGAAACGGAUCACGUGUUUCAUGAGAGAACAAAACAGCAUAAUUAGCUAUCGGUCGAAAGGGACAGCCCUCUGCCAGUGCAAGGGGGAUGCUGGCCCUGGGGUCUGCUCCCUCUAACGAGGCAGAGCUUCUGGAUGGCGGCACUUGAAAGACGCUCUAUCUCCCUCCCUGUUGUGGCGAGGGCUCUGCUGCUGCCACCCAAACCCUAAUUCAUGAGAGACCCGGACCAGAAACAGAAGAGAGGCAUCAAUAACGGCUUCCCCUGGCCGUCCAAGCCCGACGGGACUCUCUGCUGACAUCCGCACUGGACCGCGCCCGCCAGGAGGCCAGGGGCCUUGCCGGCCUGUGUACCACCCACCGUGUCUCCAGCCCCUGGAGGGCACCUGCCCACGGAGGCCAUUUCCUAAGUAUUUGCUCAAUUAAGCAAUGAAUGAACGAACCAGGCAGACCAGGGCCCCCCUGAGAGCAGAAGGGCCCAAGGUCACAGUGGAUAGAGCUGCACCUGACAUGACACACCU